GUCGUCGGUGAGGUCGUGAAACUUGAAACCGAUGUCCAAGUGAGCAAGACAGUCGCCCUCCGUGACACCGUAGUUGUGGAUGCGGGAGUCCUUCUCCGUGACGGGCACCACGCUGGCCAUGAUGUCAAACACCCCCUUGAGCUGCACUCUGAUGCCAUUGGUCACGGCGGUUCUCGUGAUGGUCAGGCCUGCCACGGCUGCCGACUCCCAACGCGUGUCGAGCCUGGCAGGGAGAUCGAUGGUCUCGUCGUCCAAGCCCAUCUCAAGACGGUCGACGCGGUUGUUCCAUUUCACGGUCCUCUUGGCACCGACGAGGAGGCGGUGGUCUGCGAAGCGGAUGCCGAUGGCCUGGAUCCAGGUGAAGUUACGACCCGUGGCGGGGUUGUGGGUGCCAAUGAAAUGGGCAUUGACAUGGAGAUCAGCAUCGGAGAGGACGCAGAAGUCUUGGUCCUUCUUGCCAUGGAAGUAGAAGUUGUUGCCGUCGCCCCCGGUGAAUCGCGGGUCGCCGCAGGAGAUGCCCGGGUAGUAGUCGCACAC
rnacentral:rRNA from 1 species